GAGACUAUGGUGUAGUAGCAGCACAGCAGUUUGUGGCACUGCUAGCACGGGUGCAAAUCCCGUUAGUCUCC
rnacentral:tRNA from 1 species